rnacentral:rRNA from 1 species
UACGAAGGGUGCAAGCGUUACUCGGAAUUACUGGGCGUAAAGGGCGCGUAGGCGGUGUGUCAAGUCAGGCGUGAAAGCCCCGGGCUCAACCUGGGAACCGCGCUUGAGACUGGCACGCUAGAGUUCGGGAGAGGAUGGUGGAAUUCCCAGUGUAGAGGUGAAAUUCGUAGAUAUUGGGAAGAACACCGAUGGCGAAGGCAGCCAUCUGGACCGACACUGACGCUGAGGCGCGAAAGCGUGGGGAGCAAACAGG